rnacentral:rRNA from 1 species
GAUGAACGCUGGCGGCGUGCCUAAUACAUGCAAGUCGAGCGAACAGACGAGGAGCUUGCUCCUCUGACGUUAGCGGCGGACGGGUGAGUAAAACGUGGAUAACCUACCUAUAAGACUGGGAUAACUUCGGGAAACCGGAGCUAAUACCGGAUAAUAUAUUGAACCGCAUGGUUCAAUAGUGAAAGACGGUUUUGCUGUCACUUAUAGAUGGAUCCGCGCCGCAUUAGCUAGUUGGUAAGGUAACGGCUUACCAAGGCAACGAUGCGUAGCCGACCUGAGAGGGUGAUCGGCCACACUGGAACUGAGACACGGUCCAGACUCCUACGGGAGGCAGCAGUAGGGAAUCUUCCGCAAUGGGCGAAAGCCUGACGGAGCAACGUCGCGUGAGUGAUGAAGGUCUUCGGAUCGUAAAACUCUGUUAUUAGGGAAGAACAAAUGUGUAAGUAACUAUGCACGUCUUGACGGUACCUAAUCAGAAAGCCACGGCUAACUACGUG